UGCGUGUAAUUUAAAAAAAAUACUAAGCUGUGACCUUAACAAUAGGAACUUCCUCACACAG
rnacentral:tRNA from 1 species